UCAUGUUUGGACCUUCCCAAUUCCCUUCCCCAUCCCACUGGGGACAGGGAGCCAGAGGCUGGUGGUGCUCAGCUGCCUGUGGGGGCUGAACCCACCUCACAGGACACCACCACACGGCAGGGCUCGGCCCUCGCUCUCUUCAGGACUAUUUCUUCAAGGCCUCGUCCCCCACGCUGACAACUACUACGGCCUAAUUCCAGCUACAGCCUGAAAACUGGGCCCUGCUGACAUCUGAAAUGUAUCCUAGGAAGCAGUCACCUCAAACACCCACCUGCCCUACUGCAGGGAGAGGGCUGGAGGCUGCCGGUGGCUGCGUCACCUCAGGCUCCAAGGACUUUUCUCUGCUGGGAUGAGCUCGGUCAGAGCCCUGGGAGCAAGGCCUCGGAUGCUGCUUGCAGAGCAAUGCUGGGCAGAAGGAAACAAAUCAACUUCAUACCGCCGAGUGAGCCGGGAGGGAAGAUCAGAGCCCCACAUGAGUUUUAAGGUCUCUCCUUCCUCCCCUGCCAAGCAAAGGAGCACUGCAGGGCUCCGAGUGCUACAGGACAACGCUGGUCCAAAACCCAGGCAGGGCUCCUGCAGCCCGAUGCUGUCGCCAGUGCAAGGACACCGAAUGAGGGUCUGAGGGAGCUCCUAGCAAGCAGCUGGCCCUGCAGCAGUCGUGCUCACGGCUCCAAAUGAAGACGUUCGGGCGCUCACGAUCGCUCUGACGAAGCAGAAAGCAGAAGGCUCUGUGCCUGCGCGGGCAGGGAGUGCUGCAGUCUUGGCGCUCGCGGAAGAGAUGCUAUCGGGGUUGCCGAGGAAACCAGAGGAUGCAGACCCAGCAGCUUUGACUUUGCAUAAACUGACAGGGAGUUCAGCUGGGGACGAGGCGCUGAGAAGGCUGGUGUUUUCCUCCGGCUCCCAGGAGCGAUUUUGCUGUGGCCGUGUUUCCAUUUUCCUGCAGUCAGAUCUCCUGCUUCCACCUCUUCCAAAUCCAACCCUCCGUGUCCCCCCUUGGUGUCCAAGCACACACAGAGCUUUCCCCCUGCUUACUCCCAGUUUAAACUGGGAAAAAUGAUUCAGAAAAAUGAUUCAGAAAUCAUUUUUAUUCAGAAAUCAUUUUUCUUACCCAUCCCUUCCACCCAGCUUCCUCCUCACUCAGCCGCCCUAUAACCUCUUCAGUAUUUUCACUAUUUUUCAGUCUCCUGCACAUGCACGAUCUCUGACAGCAGAGAUUUUGCUGAAGCUCCUUUUGUUGCAGAGGGAGCACCGACAUCCCACCUCCCCGCACAAGCCUUGGCAGCAGGAAGCACCGUGCCACUCGCACAGAGCCAGAAGGGCUCAUUUCACCAUUUCUUGUGAACUUGCUCUGAAAACAGCCUGGAGGCAGAGGGAAGCUGGCAGGCAGCACCAGGUGAAUUAAUGCCACCUCCAGCAACGUCGCUCUUACCUUGUUAGCCCCUGUCCCUCCCUGAAAGGAAUGGGGAGCUACAGUGCAUUGCUGUGGUUUCCCCCACUCCUGACUGAAGCGAUGUGAAUUUCAUUGAAAAGGCCCUUUGGGAUAAAGUGCUGCUGUUCGUUUAUUCAUAAACACCCCAAGGCAGCGUUAUUUGCCCAUAAAUAUUACGUGUGUUAAUUCAACUGCAAUUCAACUUGCGUGCAGGCUUCCCAUCAAAUUUUCCUGACGUUGCACCACUGAAGCUAACACCCUAAUGUCACAGAGCUGCAGAAGGGUUUUUCCUUCAGUGAAAUGGUAUCCCAUAGACAGGCAUUAAAUCCCCUGGGAAAAAUAAAAAGAUAAAAAACCUCGACCCCUACACCAGCUCCAUCUCACGUAGGAGCAGAAUGGAUCAGCGCUGGGCAUUGACCCUGCCCAAGAGCUGCUGCGGUGGGUCCAGGGAGUGGUAUUUUCAUUGUGGAUUUGCAUCACCCGCAGAACAGCUCGCUCAGCUUUGACAUGGGCAGAUCAAGGGUGCCUAAGGUGUGAAGUGGCUGCU